rnacentral:rRNA from 1 species
UAGUCCACGCCGUAAACGAUGGAUACUAGAUGUUGGGGGGAUUUUAUUCCUUCAGUGUCGUAGCUAACGCGUUAAGUAUCCCGCCUGGGGAGUACGCCCGCAAGGGUGAAACUCAAAGGAAUUGACGGGGGCCCGCACAAGCGGUGGAGCAUGUGCUUUAAUUCGAUGCAACGCGAAGAACCUUACCUGGACUUGACAUGGGAGUGAAAGUUUCUAGAGAUAGAGGCCUUUCCUUCGGGAACACUCUACACAGGUGCUGCAUGGUUGUCGUCAGCUCGUGUCGUGAGAUGUUGGGUUAAGUCCCGCAACGAGCGCAACCCUCGCCCUUAGUUGCCAUCAGGUAAUGCUGGGAACUCUAAGGGGACCGCCUGGUUUAACCAGGAGGAAGGUGGGGAUGACGUCAAAUCCUCAUGGCCCUUACGUCCAGGGCUAGACACGUGCUACAAUGGCUGGUACAGUGGGAUGCGAACUCGUGAGUGUAAGCUAAUCCCUAAAAACCAGUCUCAGUCCGGAUUGGAGU